CUUAAUGGCAAAAAAUUAAUGAUAAAUAAAACAUGUUCCAAGUAAAUGGGAAAGAUAAUUAUUGAUCAUGUAUCAAAAAAAUACAUACAAAAUUGUUAAUGAAUUCAAUUAAUGAAAUUUAAUCAAAAAAUUUGAAAUGUGAUAUGUCCUGUUUUCGUUGCACUUCAAGUUUAUUCAUUUAUUUCUUUUUUAAUUGACAGGGGCUGCGUAUUGCAAAGCUAGACACUACGGAAAACGAAAAAAUGACAUUGCAAAAUGAGGAAGGAUGAUUCUGUUAAUCACAAAACAUCACCCACCCUUAGUACUUCAGGUCUGUCGCUGUAGUCUACAGGUUGACACCUUAGAGAAUAGGCUCCAGUCAGCCAGCCGGACAUCCCUAUCUGCAACCACAUUCGCCCAGAGGCCAUUCGCCAAUCAGUCAAGGGAAUAAAGAUAAUAGGUCGAUAUACGGUCGGCAGCAGGAAUAGUGUAUAUCUAAGCUUGCGAAAGAUUGUAUCGAGGCGGUCGAAGGACAUGCCAGGCUCUUUAUGCGAGAUGAGCAGGAAAGCAUAAGCUCCUCCGCAUCUAAUCGUACGCCUCUGCAUCGCCCUUGUGCAGCUAAGCCUCCGUUCGCAAAAGGAAGAUUCGGACCUAAUAUCUACAAAAUAUCACACAGUUUUUUUCAAAAUGAGUAAUCCUUCAUCCAAGAUAUAUCUAUCAGCGGUUCCACAGCUCGGUAUAAUCUGUACACCUGUCAAGGCCCAAGGCUGUAUAUACAUAUACAAUAUCGCAACGGUGAAUAAAUUGAUUCAUGUUCCACGAUCUCGGUUGAAAUUGUCGUCUCGUUGAAAUAUAUAGAUUUGUCACGUCGAA